rnacentral:rRNA from 1 species
AUUGAACGCUGGCGGCAUGCUUUACACAUGCAAGUCGAACGGUAACAGGCCGCAAGGUGCUGACGAGUGGCGAACGGGUGAGUAAUGCAUCGGAACGUGCCCAGUCGUGGGGGAUAACGCAGCGAAAGCUGCGCUAAUACCGCAUACGAUCUCUGGAUGAAAGCGGGGGACCGAAAGGCCUCGCGCGAUUGGAGCGGCCGAUGUCAGAUUAGGUAGUUGGUGGGGGAAAGGCCCACCAAGCCAACGAUCUGUAGCUGGUCUGAGAGGACGACCAGCCACACUGGGACUGAGACACGGCCCAGACUCCUACGGGAGGCAGCAGUGGGGAAUUUUGGACAAUGGGCGCAAGCCUGAUCCAGCAAUGCCGCGUGCAGGAAGAAGGCCUUCGGGUUGUAAACUGCUUUUGUACGGAACGAAACGGUCCGGGCUAAUACCCUGGGCUAAUGACGGUACCGUAAGAAUAAGCACCGGCUAACUACGUGCCAGCCGCCGCCGUAAAAC